AGACUCACUGCUCCAGGCCGUCGCCUGCUUGCCCACAGGACUCCGGCUAUGUCAUCGCCCUGCGCAGCUACAUCACUGACAACUGCAGCCUCCUCAGCUUCCACCGUGGGGACCUCAUCAAGCUGCUGCCGGUGGCCACCCUGGAGCCAGGCUGGCAGUUUGGCUCUGCCGGGGGCCGUUCCGGACUCUUUCCUGCCGACAUAGUGCAGCCGGCUGCCGCUCCCGACUUUUCCUUCUCCAAGGAGCAGAGGAGUGGCUGGCACAAGGGUCAGCUGCCCAACGGGGAACGAGGGCUGGCUCGGUGGGACAGGGCCUCAGAGCGCCCUGCCCACCCUUGGAGCCAGGCACACAGUGACAACUCGGAGUCCUCCUCUGGGGCUUAUGCCUCUCUGUCCACCGACUCCCACAACUACACCAUGCGGGAAUUUGCCCUGCGUUACUUCCGGAAGUCCCAGGCCUCGCUGGACCAGACAGAUGGAGGUGCCGCA
rnacentral:sRNA from 1 species